rnacentral:lncRNA from 1 species
CCCUCCUACUACCUGGAACAUAGAUGUGAUGGUUGAAUCUAGCAACCAUCUUCAGCCGGAGGAUGAGGACCACCCUAGAUGCAGUGACUCAUGCCUAUAAUCCCAGUACUUUGGAAGGUCAAGGCACAAGGAUCCAUUGAGGCCAGGAGUCCAAGACCAGCCUGCACAAUGUAGCAAGACUCCUUCUCUACAAAAAAAUAAAUAAAAAUUAGCCAGGCAUGGUGGUGCACUCCUGUAGUCCCAGCUACUCAAGAGGCUGAUGUAGAGAAUCGCAUUAUCCCAGAGGUCAAGGCUGCAGUGAGCCGUGAUCAUGCCUCUGCACUCCAGCCUGGACGAUAGAGCAAGACUUUAUCUCAAAAAACAAAAAUUUAAAAAGAUAUCAGGUAGCUCAUAGAAUUGUUGAGAGGGCUGUAAAACCAGGCUUGAACUUAAACAGCAACGAUAAACCACCCACAGAACGGACAUGAUGAAGAAGUUGGCAAAUGUUACCAACUGUCCUGGUUUUUUUGGUGACUGUAGUUUCCAAGGAUUCAGAUCCUUCCAUGCCAAAAUCUGAAAAAUGCUGGGCAAAGUAUGACUGACAAUGUGGUAAUCUUACAGCUAGCACUAGAGACAUCAAGCACUAGACAACACAAUUUGCCCUUUGGCCACUUAUACAAUGGGAACUCACGCUUGCAGUAACCUCUAUUGCCACUAGGAGAGAGAAACACAGAAGGAGGAAGGGAGAAGGGAGAGAGAGGAAAAAAACUGUUGCUUGUCUCCUUAGCUGUGAGUCAAAGGUCUAACACAGAUGUCUGGCUGAAAAGCCUAGGUCACAUGCCUGCACCCCAGAGAAAGUAUGUGACAUCUUCUGCUUCCAUUAUGGGAAACAGCCUUUGCUUGUCACGAAGAUUUACAUGGUGAGACAUAUCCUAAAUAUAGGGAAGCUGUUGAAGUGGCCCAAAUAAUGACCAAUUUCUACUAAUUUGUACUAAUAUCCAAAUUACUUUUAAUUAUCUAAUAUUACUUAGAUACAGUGAGGCAACCAUUCGUUGGAUAUAUAAUGGUUUCUUUGAUUUCAAAAAUCUUUUUUUAUGUAAUAUAUGUCUGAAGACCAUCAAAAUAAAUUCUUAAAGUCAGAUUAAUAGGAUGUUACUUAUAAUAUUAUUGUAAUUAUUUGACCACAUAAUAGUUUAUGCCCAUUAUAUACUAUGUAAUUGUAUGAUGGAAAUAAUGCUGUACUUUGUUUGUAAAAGUUUAAUUAUCCUGACCUUUGUUCAUCAUAAAGAAUUGCUCCAUUUCUAUUAUUUAUCGAGG